GAUCGGAGCUUACCGAAGAAGCUCGUUGGAACUCGCCAAGAUCAAAUCGUGAAGUCUAGGAGCUUGCCGGGAGUCCGCAGAAUGGUUUCCGAGAGUUUAUCGGAAGACCGUCGGAAGUUCGCUGGAAGCUCGCCGGAAGAAGUCUUGACUUACGGACUUUGUAAUAGCUUAGAAAAUGUCUUUAAAUUCGUAGUUAGCACGUUAAUUAGGGUUAGGAUUAGGUGUUAAUCCUAUAACCCAAGUAGGGGCCAAUUGGGCC
rnacentral:lncRNA from 1 species